rnacentral:piRNA from 1 species
UCAAUGAGAGAUUCGACAUAGCUACCAG